rnacentral:rRNA from 1 species
GAUGAACGCUGGCGGCGUGCCUAAUACAUGCAAGUCGAGCGAACAGACGAGGAGCUUGCUCCUCUGACGUUAGCGGCGGACGGGUGAGUAACACGUGGAUAACCUACCUAUAAGACUGGGAUAACUUCGGGAAACCGGAGCUAAUACCGGAUAAUAUAUUGAACCGCAUGGUUCAAUAGUGAAAGACGGUUUUGCUGUCACUUAUAGAUGGAUCCGCGCCGCAUUAGCUAGUUGGUAAGGUAACGGCUUACCAAGGCAACGAUGCGUAGCCGACCUGAGAGGGUGAUCGGCCACACUGGAACUGAGACACGGUCCAGACUCCUACGGGAGGCAGCAGUAGGGAAUCUUCCGCAAUGGGCGAAAGCCUGACUGAGCAACGCCGCGUGAGUGAUGAAGGUCUUCGGAUCGUAAAACUCUGUUAUUAGGGAAGAACAAAUGUGUAAGUAACUAUGCACGUCUUGACGGUACCUAAUCAGAAAGCCACGGCUAACUACGUG